UACAGAGGUCUCAAGCGUUGUUCGGAUUCAUUGGGCGUAAAGGGUGCGUAGGCGGCGCGGUAAGUCGGGUGUGAAAUUUCGAGGCUUAACUUCGAAACUGCAUUCGAUACUGCCGUGCUUGAGGAUGGUAGAGGCGAGUGGAAUUCCCGGUGUAGCGGUGAAAUGCGCAGAUAUCGGGAGGAACACCAGUAGCGAAGGCGGCUCGCUGGGCCAUUCCUGACGCUGAGACGCGAAAGCUAGGGGAGCGAACAGG
rnacentral:rRNA from 1 species